CCGCCCCUCGCGCACUUGAUGAAGAAGACACGGCCGUCCCGACAGACGCCGUACGACCAGUGCUCAGGGGUUUGUAUACCUUCUUCUGAACUUUGAGCACAUGGAACACAUGUGGUGCACAUGCAGGCAGGCAGGCAAAAUGGACAGCAUGGCCUGGUGACUUUAGAGUCAGCCCUGUGACUCCACAUACUGCUCUCCGCAGCAAACUGUGGGGCAUGGUAGCAGACUGUGACACAGCCUGGAACCCACAUCUGGAGCUCUCACUACUGGAAUAAGGGCUUAGAAAUGAGUCCUUUCAAUGUGGGAGGACAGGAGGCUGAAACCACUGCAGAGCCUGAAGCUAGAACACCAACAUGGGCUAGCCUGGCCAGGUGCCUAAUAAACCCCCACCCUGAAGCUAGAACACCAACAUGGACUAUUCCAGCCAGGUGCCUAAUAAAGCCCCACCUUGCCCACCUGCUGUUAAGCUCCCCCUAAGCCGUCAAGGUCCCCACUGUAGUGAAUCAGCUCCCCCCACUCCCCCCCACAGAAGGUCUCCUCAGCCCUCAGCCCGUCUUCACUUCUCUGAUAUGAGCCGCUGUAUUUCUGUUGCUGCUUUUCUUUUAAGAUCCCUUUCCAUGACUCAGUUGGGAGAGUGCUUGCCUAGUUUGU